UUUCCGUAGGUGAACCUGCGGAAGGAUCAUUGUCAUGACCCAGACCAAAUCAAACCGCGCACGCGUCAUCCAAUCCUCCGGUGAUGGCACCGUCCGUCGCUCGGCCAAGUCCUCGACCGCCUCCCCUCCUCAGAGUGGGGGCUCGGGGUAAAAGAACCCAUGGCGCCGAAGGCGUCAAGGAACACUUUGCCUAACCCGAGGGCAUGGCUAGCUUGCUAGUCGUCCCCCGUGUUGCAAAGCUAUUUAAUCCACACGACUCUCGGCAACGGAUAUCUCGGCUCUC
rnacentral:misc_RNA from 1 species